rnacentral:lncRNA from 1 species
GGCACCCCAGCACUAAGCCUACUCAGAGGCAGUGGCCAUAGAGGAGGCCUUCAGCAGCCAACCCGUCUCUAAAACCUACGGCCUGGAGAUCGUCUGCACCCGGCCCGGUGGAUUCCUAAUAGUGAACUGCCAACCCAGUCCGCCCCGAAGCCAUUGAUGAGAGCAGAUCUGGAACUAGUACUGGAGGCGGGUGAUGGGAGAGCAUGGAAGCGUUCACAGGUGCCUUGAGGAGCUGCAGCCAGAGCCGGGUACCAUCACCUAUUGGACAGUUACAGAGGAGACAUUUCCACCGAGCACAGCCUGAGAAGAAAAUCAAGGUCAGAAGAGUGAUUUCUCCUAGCUGAAACACAAGCUCAGAAAGAAAUCCUGCAUGGUAGGCUCUCCUUCCCUUGAAUCUUCCACCCACCACGGGCAGCAAAAAAGGACCAGGCUCCCAGAGGCCCGGCCUGGAAGGAAUUCUGCUCAGGAAGAGUCGCUGAGACCACCCAAAUUGCCGGGGAACAGAGGCCCUGGCCACCCCAGGAGCCGGGCCGAACUGGCAACCUCUGCGUUCUCCAGCCGCAGCCAAGCAGGAGGACGGCAGCUUGACCACAGCCCUGGAUCAAGCCUGCGGAUCACGCCAUGUCGGGCCUGGGAAGAGCUUCGAGUUCUCUCCUGCCCGUGUGUGGCUGUGCCAGCCAACAUCAUGGGGCAGACUGCCCUAGCCAGGUGGCCCAAGUCCGACUCCUCCCAGGGCCUCAAACCCACCCCAUUGACUGUUUCUCCCCCUAAAAGUGGAGCUAGCGGCUGUCCCCCCAGAAUAAAGAGCAGACAGGGUGGGCGGAGAGGGGGCUGCGACUCUCCUUCCCUGGAUCUCUCCUUUGUCAAUUCUUGAAGGCUCCUGGCUCUGCUUUUCUGUUCCGCUUCUCCAAAGGAACUCAGAGGCCCUGCCCUCUGCCCCCACUCUCCCUGGCUGUGAUUCACUGCUCCCACUGGCUCCGCCCCAGCCCCAGCCCCAGCCCUAAGGAGGGCUUACAUUUGCCAAGGAAAAACUCACAGGCUUUCAGAUCUGUCCAAAGAGGACCAUUCUCAGCAGGCAGGGAGGGAAGAAGGGAUCAAGGAGAGGCCAGGGUAUUUCUUCCCCUUA